GACGAACGCUGGCGGCGUGCCUAAUACAUGCAAGUUGAGCGAUGAAGAUUGGUGCUUGCACCAAUUUGAAGAGCAGCGAACGGGUGAGUAACGCGUGGGGAAUCUGCCUUUGAGCGGGGGACAACAUUUGGAAACGAAUGCUAAUACCGCAUAAUAACUUUAAACAUAAGUUUUAAGUUUGAAAGAUGCAAUUGCAUCACUCAAAGAUGAUCCCGCGUUGUAUUAGCUAGUUGGUGAGGUAAAGGCUCACCAAGGCGAUGAUACAUAGCCGACCUGAGAGGGUGGUCGGCCACAUUGGGACUGAGACACGGCCCAAACUCCUACGGGAGGCAGCAGGAGGGAAUCUUCGGCAAUGGACGAAAGUCUGACCGAGCAACGCCGCGUGAGGGAAGAAGGUUUUCGGAUCGUAAAACUCUGUUGGUAGGGAAGAACGUUGGUGAGAGUGGAAAGCUCAUCAAGUGACGGUAACUACCCAGAAAGGGACGGCUAACUACGUG
rnacentral:rRNA from 1 species